CCUGCCGGACCUGACUGCUAUCGGAUUGAUACUAAGCCAUGCGAGUCUUUGUAGUAAUACAAGGCAGACGGCUCAGUAACACGUAGUCAACCUACCCUAUGGACAAGAAUAAUCUCGGGAAACUGGGCAUAAUUCUUGAUAGAUCAUAAUGCCUGGAAUGGUUUAUGGUUAAAAUGAUUCGUCGCCAUAGGAUGGGACUGCGGCCUAUCAGCUUGUUGGUGAGGUAAUGGCCCACCAAGGCGAUUACAGGUACGGGCUCUGAGAGGAGAAGCCCGGAGAUGGGUACUGAGACACGGACCCAGGCCCUAUGGGGCGCAGCAGGCGAGAAAACUUUGCAAUGUGCGAAAGCACGACAAGGUUAAUCCGAGUGAUUUCUGCUAAAGAAAUCUUUUGCCAGUCAUAAAACCACUGGUGAAUAAGGGGUGGGCAAGUUCUGGUGUCAGCCGCCGCGGUAAAACCAGCACCUCAAGUGGUCAGGAUGAUUAUUGGGCCUAAAGCAUCCGUAGCCGGCUUUGUUAGUUUUCGGUUAAAUCCAUGUGCUCAACGCAUGGGCUGCCGAAAAUACUGCAUAGCUAGGGAGUGGGAGAGGUAGACGGUACUCAGUAGGUAGGGGUAAAAUCCUUUGAUCUAUUGAUGACCACCUGUGGCGAAGGCGGUCUACCAGAACACGUUCGACGGUGAGGGAUGAAAGCUGGGGGAGCAAACCGGAUUAGAUACCCGGGUAGUCCCAGCUGUAAACGAUGCAGACUAGAUGAUGCAUUGGCAUAAUAGCCAUUGCAGUGUCUCAGGGGAGCCGUUAAGUCUGCCGCCUGGGAAGUACGUACGCAAGUAUGAAACUUAAAGG
rnacentral:rRNA from 1 species